ACAUGGAAUUGAUUACUUCUAGUGAGAGGAGAUUGCAUCCUAUGUAUUCUCAUUCUUAGAUGAUUCAGAAAAAAUCUUUUGGCCAAAAGUAGGAAGGAGCUUAGAAAGAGUUUCUAAUACUUCUUCAUCGAAGCCAUCAUUGGGUAAUUGAGAAUCGAUAUGAAUGUGUGUUUGAGUUUGACAUGAUUCCAUACUUAUAAACAUAUUUAGGAUGU
rnacentral:lncRNA from 1 species